ACGAAUAUAUACUUGAACCUAUCAGCUAGCAGUUUACAGGCUUCCUCCCAACGAACUUGAUGGGUUAGUUUCUCUAAUUUUUCGGAGAAUGCUGCUAAGCAAUUAGAAGAAGAUAAGAUACAAUGAUCCUGUAACUGAACUCAAAUUGAUGUACGCCAUCAGAGUAGUCGAGAGUUUCAUCCUGUCUGUUUAAGUUCCUUAUAAACAAGUAGACACGUC
rnacentral:lncRNA from 1 species